rnacentral:ncRNA from 1 species
UCUCGGCUUAUGAGACCCCCAUAAAAGGGUGUUGGUUUGAUAUUGGACAGCAGGACCGGGGGCCAUGGAAGUCGGUACCCCGCUAAGGAGUGUGUAACAACUCACCUGCCGAAUCAACUAGCCCUGAAAAUGGAUGGGCGCUUAAGCGAGAGACCUAUACUCCGCCGUCGCGGCAUGUGCGUUGUCUAGCGCCAGGUCGCGACGAGUAGGAAGGACGUGGCGGUUGCGUUGAAGGCUAUGAGCGUAGGCUCGGCUGGAGCUUCCGUCAGUGCAGAUCGUAAUGGUAGUAGCAAAUAUUCAAGUUCGAUCCUUGAAGACUGAAGUGGAGAAGGGUUCCACGUGAACAGUAGUUGGAUGUGGGUCAGUCGAUCCUAAGGUACUGGCGAAAGCCUUGUAUCAUCGGUGGCGAAAAGCUUGCUUUUUGUCCCCGCCCGUCGAAAGGGAAUAGGGUUAAUAUUCCCUAACUGAGAUGCAAAGAUUGUGUUCUUCGGAGCACAAGCGCGGUAACGCGUUCGAACUUGGUAAGUCGCUCAGAGACCGAGCUAGAGUUUUCUUCUCUAGUUAAGGAACGGACUCCCUGGAAUUGGUUCAGCCAGAGAUGGGGACGUUGUUUCCGAAAAGCACCGCGGUUUCUGUGGUGUCUCGUGCUCUCUGAACGGCCCUUUAAACACCAAGGGAGGCUAUUAAUUUGCACUCAAUCGUACCGAUAUCCGCAUUAGGUCUCCAAGGUGAACAGCCUCUAGUCGAUAGAAUAAUGUAGGUAAGGGAAGUCGGCAAAUAGAUCCGUAACUUCGGGAAAAGGAUUGGCUCCAGUGGUCGGAACGGUUGGCCAGUUGGUUGAUGCUUGUCCGGCGCUGUUCUGUCUGCUUGAUGCUUUCGGGCUGAUGGCGGCCUAGUGAUAGUGCUUGCUUGUUGACGCUUUCUGGUGUGUGCUUUGACCUCGGUCUUAGUAUCCUGAUCGUUCAUCUAAAACGACUAAACUGGAACCGGUACGGACUCAGGGAAUCCCGACUGUCUAAUUAAAACAGAGGUGACAGAUGGUCCUUGCGGACGCUGACUGUCACUGAUUUCUGCCCAGUGCUCUGAAUGUUAAAUCGCAGUAAUUCCAGUAAGCGCGGGUAAACGGCGGGAGUAACUAUGACUCUCUUAAGGUAGCCAAAUGCCUCGUCAUUUAAUUGGUUGACGCGCAUGAAUGGGAUUAA